rnacentral:rRNA from 1 species
GACAGAGGGUGCAAACGUUGUUCGGAAUUACUGGGCGUAAAGCGCGUGUAGGCGGCCCUGCAAGUCGGGUGUGAAAUCCCAUGGCUCAACCAUGGAAGUGCACUCGAAACUGCAGGGCUAGAGUCCUGGAGAGGAAGGUGGAAUGCUUGGUGUAGAGGUGAAAUUCGUAGAUAUCAAGCGGAACACCGGUGGCGAAGGCGGCCUUCUGGACAGUGACUGACGCUGAGACGCGAAAGCGUGGGGAGCAAACAGGAUUAGAAACCCCUGUAGUCC